rnacentral:rRNA from 1 species
AUUGAACGCUGGCGGCAGGCCUAACACAUGCAAGUCGAACGAGUGGCGGACGGGCGAGUUAUGUCUGGGAAACUGCCCGAUGGAUGGGGACAACUACUGGAAACGGUAGCUAAUACCGCAUACCAUCGGAUGUGCCGAGUGGGGAUGAUCUAGUGGGUGGGGUAAGGGCUCACCUAGGCCACGAUCCCUAGCUGGUCUGAGAGGAUGACCAGCCACACUGGAACUGAGAAACGGUCCAGACUCCUACGGGAGGCAGCCGUGGGGAAUAUUGGACAAUGGGCGAAAGCCUGAUGCAGCCAUGCCGCGUGUGUGAAGAAGGCCUUCGGGUUGUAAAGUACUUUCAGCGGGGAGGCGUUACCCGCAGAAGAAGCACCGGCUAACUCCGUGCCAGCCGCCGCGGUAAUAC